ACAGCAGUGUGUAACUCUGUCACUGUCAGGACACAGCCACCACCUGAGAGGAGGGGAACACACACACAUUCAUCUAGAGAAUCGGAGGCCGUCGCUGUGAGCGAAUUCUGAAGAAGAGGAAGGGUUUGUGAGAAGUGUUUGUCACAAUGGAUUACUGAGUGAGGACGAGCCAGCACACACACUCUCUGACACACAUGGCACACAUGGCACAACACAGCGUGGACUGACAGGUGACAUCACUGUAACCCCGUGGGAGCCAGGGAGUGCUGCCAUUGAUGCCAGCUGUGUGUGUGUGUGUGUGUGUGUGUGCGUGUGUGUUUGUGUGUGUUUGUGUGUGUGUGUGUGUGUGUGUGUGUGUGUGUGUGUGUGUGUUUGUGUGUGUGUCUGUGUGGCACUUCCUGGGAGAAAAUAGAACAGGAAGCCGGAGUGAGAGCUGAAAACAAGCGAUCGCCUCACCUCCACAAGGAAGCCUUUCUCCCCAGAGAGCAAAGAGGACGGGUGUGUGUGUGUGUAGCUCUCUCCUGCAUUCAUACUGUGCAGUGCAGUGGGGGGUGGUGUUGGUUCUGUCUUGGCGUUAGCCCCCGGCUGUUUCCUUUUCCACAAUUGGUUUUAUUAAGUAGCUUUACACAUUUGAGGAAUUUGGAGUUCAAAGACACAGAAAUUAGCAACAAAUAGUGCUUUAUAAAAGGAAUUUGAAGUCUAGAUAUAUUAAUCACACAAAAUAUAAAUAUAUAAGAAGCUGAGUACAGUUAAAAUAAAAUAUGACACAGCUGUGCAGGUUUAAAAAGAGGAAGUGUGGAGCAGAAAAAGCAGAUUUACAGUAUUAAAAUAACCAGUGACUUUGCAUUUAGUGCUUUUCUUUACACAUUUAAUCAAAUUGCAGUCACUUCUUCCCGCAGACAGUGACAUCUCACGGUCAGGGGAGCCUUUGCAUGGACAUUUACAGCCAUUACAGUGACCUUCUGGUGUGCUGUUAUGACAUUUAAGUGACCUAGCUAAACUAAUGGCAGGAGAGAUGAGCUUCCCCUUGUGCGGAUCAAAAGGCAGCCACACCACCACGGUACAUAGCUCACGGGUUGGCAUGGUAGCUUCUAGAUGUAAUGUCUCCCUCUUGUGGCAAAGGGCAGAAUUACAGGAGGCAGUGGAUAAGUGAAUUACAAUUAUCACACCCUCUGUGACUCAUUAUGGGUCACUUUACCUCCAUCAAUCACCUGUAAGGACCCACUGGGACAAUGCAUUAGGCUUGUUGUCUUGACGACCUGUCCAGUUACACGAGUGCUGGGUGCCAGUUCCCACAGCCGAGUGUGGAGGCCUUUGUUUCCCGUGACACGAGACACCACACACUCACUGUUGGUGCAUUCCUCCAGCUGGAUGUGCUCCUCUGAGUUGUGGAACAAGGCUUUUGAUUUAGUUUGGAGAGUUAAAUCUGAUUACUUAAAGGGAGUGAGGAGAAUUCCCCAGCUGGGUGAGAAAAUGUUCAACUGAGGAAGAUGGGAAUGUGUUAGAUUUGCAGAAUUUGGUCACGAAUCAAAAUUUUUAAGGUUAACUUAAGGUGACGGAAAAGUAAAUGUUUCAGAUCAAAUUUAAUACAAUUCAUCCUCAAAAAAACAUGAAUGUGUGCAUUAGUUUUCCUUCAAAUCUGUCCAAUAAUUGUUGAGAAAUGUGUCUUUUUUGCUCAAAUCCAAUCAUCCUCUGCCUCAGACAAUCUAAAAUCUUAUCCUAUUUUGUUUGUCUUCGUUCACCUUACUUCUUAUUUACCCCGGCAAAUGUCACCUGAUUUCUCCAAAAAGCACUUCCUUUUUGGUGCAGAAGCCUGAAAAAUUCUCAAAAUAAAUUGGAUUCUGCUCCCAAAUUGUUUGAAUUACAGCUAUGGUCCUGGUCCCGCUGUUGAAAGGUAGGUCAGGUAAGUAAGCCAAAUGAAGCUGAACCAAAGUGGCUCAAAAACUAUAAAUAAAACAACCUUUUUUUAUAUUAUUUUCUUGAACUGCUCUGUUUAUUCUGCAUGCACUCUCAAUGGUAUACAGAUUUCUGCUCAUGUGUACUUUGUCAAGGUUGGGAGAGGAUUCAAGUGCAUGCCGUCCUUAGUAAGGUAACAUUUGGUACCCUUUUAAUCUCCCUAGGUAGAUGAUGCAAUAUAAUAUAUCACUGAAAUUCAUCUAAGUGUAACUACUGAGGCUCAUUCCCUCCCAUCUCACCGCUGCUGCAACUGACGCCGAACACAUCUUCCCCCAGAAGCUGGUUUCACAUGGUGGAUUAGAUGUGUGUUCCCAUUGUCUAGCACCAUUUGAAAUCAGUGUUCUUGGGGACAGGAGGACAGCUCUGGCAGUGAGUGAGUGUCUGGAGGAUCUUGCCUUCCCUCCUCCUCUUAUUUCUCUCCUCUAAACGAUGACUGAUUUCUCCUGGUGCUUAGAGCCCGCUGCAGCCUUCUAGCACCAUUUGAAAUCGGUUAUAAAACUGUGGGUCAAUGCAUCUGGGAGACGGACACAGGACAAGAAGAAGGAAGUUACUGCUGUCCAUUUUGUUUAUUGACUUAAGAGAUCAACCAGGGGUUUGACGGAUACUUAUGAAUGUGUUUUUUCAUUUCUGUAAUAGAGUUACCAUUCUCACUGCCAGCAACAAGUGGGUGUUACUGCAGUCCCCACUGAUCACCACUAGGAGCUGAUAUACUGUUUGGAUGUAAUGUAAUGAGCUGCUUGAAGUGAAUAAAAAGGCCAGAUUUCACAGGGAAA